rnacentral:lncRNA from 1 species
CAGCGAGUGUUAUUUACGGUGUGUGUGUGUGCGUGUGUGUGUGUGUGUGUGUGUGUGUGUGUUUAGUGCUAGGGCCUGAGCCCAGGGCUUCACACGUGCCAGGCAAGUGCUCUAUCAGGGACUGAUGUCCCCAGGCCUCGAAGUAUUUUUUUCAUUGAUUUUGAAAUGUCGCAGCCUGGACUGGAACUUGUGAUCCUGCUGCCUCAGUCACGUAGCUGGGAUCAGAGACUGUCCUCCAGACAAGUGCGACACGAGUGCAUCGUCUCGACACGUGGUUCACAUCAUCUCCCUGGUUGGAACAGGAGUCGGGCAGAACCUUGUAAGAUCAUCAAAGGGAUCCAAACUAGGUAAUAGACUCACAUUCGGGUCAGCAUGGGUUAAACAGCGCGAAUGAACAGAGCCAAACUAACAACCCCAAACGAACCCUAGAAAGCGUAUAGAAGCAAGAUAAAAAAAACCCCAAAACCAUAAGUGACUUGACUGUUCAGUUGGGGUGGAGAAAACAACAGUGAAAGGGCCCCUCCAAACAAGUUCAGGGGCUGAAUAUUCCAUUCUCUGCCCCAGACUCAACCUCCAGGCUUGGAGGAGUGUGGGCCAAACUCACUGGCAAUCUUUCUCCGACCCAUUGGUUGAGAACCUGUGGGUUUUCACGUACCAUGCCCUGAUAUUUGACCAUUCCCUCAUUAGUCAACCAGUAGUGU